AUCCUGUCAAUGUCCCGCUGCAGCCUACAGCAGCCCUCUACACUGUCAACGACACCUCCGACCUUUGUGUCGUCUGCAAACUUGCUGACCCAUCCUUCAAUUCCCUCGUCCAAGUCACUAAUAAAAAUUACAAACAGUAGAGGCCCAAGGACAGAGCCCUGUGGAACUCCACUCACCACUGACUUCCAGGCAGAAUAUUUUCCUUCUACUACCACUCGCUGUCUUCUGUUGGCCAGCCAAUUCUGUAUCCAAGCAGCUAAGUUCCCCUGUAUCCCAUUCCUCCUGACCUUCUGAAUGAGCCUACCAUGGGGAACCUUAUCAAAUGCCUUACUGAAGUCCAUAUACACCACAUCCACAGCUCGACCCUCAUCAACCUUUCUAGUCACAUCCUGAAAAAACUCGAUAAGGUUUGUAAGGCAUGACCUACCCCUCACAAAGCAGUGUUGACUGUAUUUGAUCAAGCCAUGCUCUUCCAGAUGGUCAUAAAUCUUAUCCCUCAGAAUCCUUUCUAACACCUUGCAGACGACAGACGUGAGACUUAGCGGUCUAUAAUUGCCGGGGAUUUCCCUAUUUCCUUUCUUGAAGAGAGGAAUUACAUUUGCCUCUCUCCAGUCCUCAGGUACGACUCCAGUGGAGAGCGAGGAUGCAAAGAUCUUCGCAAGUGGCGAAGCAAUUGCAUUUCUCGCUUCCCAAAGCAGCCGAGGACAAAUCUGGUCCGGGCCUGGCGACUUGUCAAUCUUAAUGUUUGACAAAAUUUUCAGCACAUCAGCUUCGUCUAUCUCUAUCCAUUCCAGCAUGCACACCUGCUCUUCAAAGGUUUCAUUCACUACAAAGUUCGUUUCUUUCGUAAAGACAGAAGCAAAAAACUCAUUUAGGGCUUCCCCUACCUCCUCAGGCUCCACACACAAGUUCCCUAUGCCAUCCCUGAUCGGCCCUAUGACGCAGGCAAAACUCUAUCUCUGCAGGUAGCAUGAUGCUGUGUUCUCAAACUUCCCUGCCUUUUUGUAAUAUAAUAUUGUCUUUUUAGGACAGAAGUUUUUUUUUGUUUGUUUUAACUUCUGCACAUACUUUCUAUGCAUGUUAAAAUUCUACACCUUUUCAGUUCACUGCAGUGCUGCAUAAUGAAGACUUGGAACAAUUUUUUUUAUAAAGUAGAAAAUCAGUGUGGUUUGUUUUCCAAAAUGUGAUGUCAGCUUUCCUGGAGCAAGUCUGGUUUCCUUCGGAUGAGACGACUUUCAGACAUACACCCUUUAUUAUGAGAUUUAAUUGCGGUAAAAUGAGGAGGAUUUUUAUUCACUGAGACACACAUGACUAUAUGUUUAAAGCAUUGGAAAAUGCGUUCUGUUCGGACUGUCAUGUUAUCUGGUGUUUGUACCAGGCUUUCCGAUUAAAUGCAAGUGAUUAAGGAUGCUAA